UACGUAGGCAGCAAGCGUUGUUCGGAGUUACUGGGCGUAAAGGGUGCGUAGGCGGCUUUUUAAGUUUGGUGUGAAAUCUCCCGGCUCAACUGGGAGGGUGCGCCGAAUACUGAGAGGCUAGAGUGCGGGAGAGGAAAGUGGAAUUCCUGGUGUAGCGGUGAAAUGCGUAGAUAUCAGGAGGAACACCGGUGGUGUAAACGGCUUUCUGGACCGUAACUGACGCUGAGACACGAAAGCGUGGGUAGCAAACAGG
rnacentral:rRNA from 1 species